rnacentral:rRNA from 1 species
AACGAACGUUAGCGGCGCGCCUAACACAUGCAAGUCGCACGAGAAGGGGAUUCGUCCCUGGUAAAGUGGCGCACGGGUGAGUAACACGUGGGUAACGUUCCCUCAGGCGGGGGAUAACCUUCCGAAAGGAGGGCUAAUACCGCAUAAGACCACGGCCUCGAAAGAGGCUGCGGUAAAAGCAGGCCUCUAUACAUAAGCUUGCACCGGAGGAUCGGCCCGCGGCCCAUCAGCUAGUUGGAAGGGUAACGGCCUACCAAGGCGAAGACGGGU